CGUCCUACGGGAGAAAGUGGGGGAUCUUCGGACCUCACGCUAUCAGAUGAGCCUAGGUCGGAUUAGCUAGUAGGUGGGGUAAUGGCUCACCUAGGCGACGAUCCGUAACUGGUCUGAGAGGAUGAUCAGUCACACUGGAACUGAGACACGGUCCAGACUCCUACGGGAGGCAGCAGUGGGGAAUAUUGGACAAUGGGCGAAAGCCUGAUCCAGCCAUGCCGCGUGUGUGAAGAAGGUCUUCGGAUUGUAAAGCACUUUAAGUUGGGAGGAAGGGCAGUAAGUUAAUACCUUGCUGUUUUGACGUUACCAACAGAAUAAGCACCGGCUAACUUCGUGCCAGCAGCCGCGGUAAUACGAAGGGUGCAAGCGUUAAUCGGAAUUACUGGGCGUAAAGCGCGCGUAGGUGGUUUGGUAAGAUGGAUGUGAAAUCCCCGGGCUCAACCUGGGAACUGCAUCCAUAACUGCCUGACUAGAGUACGGUAGAGGGUGGUGGAAUUUCCUGUGUAGCGGUGAAAUGCGUAGAUAUAGGAAGGAACACCAGUGGCGAAAGCGACCACCUGGACUGAUACUGACACUGAGUGCGAAAGCGUGGGGAGCAAAACAGGAUUAGAUACCCUGGUAGUCCACGCCGUAAACGAUGUC
rnacentral:rRNA from 1 species